GGAACCUGCCCUGUACCGGGGGACAACAGCCAGAAAUGGCUGCUAAUACCGCAUAAUCCUGCACUACCGCAUGGUGGUGCAGGGAAAACUCCGGUGGUACAGGAUGGCCCCGCGUCUGAUUAGCUUGUUGGCGGGGUAACGGCCCACCAAGGCAACGAUCAGUAGCCGGCUUGAGAGAGUGAACGGCCACAUUGGGACUGAGACACGGCCCAGACUCCUGCGGGAGGCAGCAGUGGGGAAUAUUGCACAAUGGGGGGAACCCUGAUGCAUCAAUGCCGCGUGGGUGAAGAAGUAUUUCGGUAUGUAAAGCCCUAUCAGCAGGGAAGAAAAUGACGGUACCUGACUAAGAAGCCCCGGCUAACUACGUGCCAGCAGCCGCGGUAAUACGUAGGGGGCGAGCGCUAUCCGGAUUUACUGGGUGUAAAGGGAGCGCAGGCGGCGUGGCAAGUCAGAUGUGAAAACCCGGGGCUCAACCCCGGGACUGCAUUUGAAACUGCCAUGCUGGAGUGCCGGAGAGGUAAGUGGAAUUCCUAGUGUAGCGGUGAAAUGCGUAGAUAUUAGGAGGAACACCAGUGGCGAAGGCGGCUUACUGGACGGUAACUGACGCUGAGGCUCGAAAGCGUGGGGAGCAAACAGGA
rnacentral:rRNA from 1 species